GUGUGUUGGCUAUUCAUAGUGAGGCUACUUAGUUUGACUGCAUGUUUUCUUGGUCCCUAGCCAUUCGGAUCCUUGCUGUAUAUGUUGGUUAUUGUAGGUUCAGAUGUGUUGUUUGGAGUAGGAUGUAUUUAGAUAGAAUCUAUCGAUCUUAGUAGAAAAAGAGUAGUCCUAUGCGAUUCACAAGACUGAGUUCAGGAAGCCUCUAGCUAGAGCAAGAGUGAAUACUAAAAAAGAAUUUUCAUGGGAUUCACAAAUAAACUCGAGUUGAGCCAAUC
rnacentral:lncRNA from 1 species